rfam:Bombyx mori DNA, contig: Bm_scaf35_contig21072, strain: p50T/Dazao, build 2, whole genome shotgun sequence.
UUAACUCAAAUUUGUAUGGAGUUGGAGCAGCUUCUCUUCGUUUGCCGCUAGGGGCGCUGUUGCAACUCGAUAAAAAUUUGAGUUA